rnacentral:rRNA from 1 species
AUUGAACGCUGGCGGCAGGCUUAACACAUGCAAGCCGAGCGGAGUGAUGGUGCUUGCACUAUCACUUAGCGGCGGACGGGUGAGUAAUGCUUAGGAAUCUGCCUAUUAGUGGGGGACAACAUCUCGAAAGGGAUGCUAAUACCGCAUACGUCCUACGGGAGAAAGCAGGGGAUCACUUGUGACCUUGCGCUAAUAGAUGAGCCUAAGUCGGAUUAGCUAGUUGGUGGGGUAAAGGCCUACCAAGGCGACGAUCUGUAGCGGGUCUGAGAGGAUGAUCCGCCACACGGGGACUGGGACACGGCCCAGAGUCCUACGGGAGGCAGCAGUGGGGAAUAUUGGACAAUGGGGGGAACCCUGAUCCAGCCAUGCCGCGUGUGUGAAGAAGGCCUUAUGGUUGUAAAGCACUUUAAGCGAGGAGGAGGCUCUUUUGGUUAACACCCAAGAUGAGUGGACGUUACUCGCAGAAUAAGCACCGGCUAACUCUGUGCCAGCAGCCGCGGUAACAC